UAAUUGAAGAGUUUGAUCAUGGCUCAGAUUGAACGCUGGCGGCAGGCCUAACACAUGCAAGUCGAGCGGUAACAGGGGAAGCUUGCUUCUCGCUGACGAGCGGCGGACGGGUGAGUAAUGUAUGGGGAUCUGCCCGAUAGA
rnacentral:rRNA from 1 species